AGUGGAGGGAAUGGCACAAGGACUGCGUUACUGCAAGGCAAGAAAGCCUGUUUCUCCCUGCUUUUUAAGCAGGUCCUCCGUCUCAUGAAGAGUAGAAAGAACACUACACCAGGAGUCAAGAGCUCCCAUCCUAAUCCCAGCUCUGCCAGCAAGUGACCCGCUGUGCUGCCCCAGGUGAGCUGUGGCUAGGCACUACGUCCUGUUCACUCUGGGACCAAGACAGAAGGAGCACCACUAACUGGGACAUGCUGGUGUCACGGCAAAGAGAAAUGACAGAUGGCAGAACCAGGCCAUGUCUAUUAAAGCUGCUGCUCAGAAACAGCAACAUGCCAUUGUUAUUCACAUUUCAUUGGCCAAAAUAGUUCUAUGGCCAAGCCAGCCAAGGGAAUCAACCCUCAGUGGGGUGGGAAAGCAGAGGGAUGGACCAUGGGUAGGAAGGAAGAGCAAAUGUUUUGACAAUAAUAUAAUCUACCACAAAGGGAAAGGAAAAUGGCUAGAGAAGUGCUUACUUCCC
rnacentral:lncRNA from 1 species